AGAGUUUGAUCCUGGCUCAGAACGAACGCUGGCGGNACGCCUAACACAUGCAAGUCGAGCGAGACCUUCGGGUCUAGCGGCGGACGGGUUAGUAACNCGUGGGAACGUACCUUUUGCUUCGGAAUAGCCUCGGGAAACUGGGAGUAAUACCGAAUGUGCCCUUUGGGGGAAAGAUUUAUCGGCAAAAGAUCGGCCCGCGUCUGAUUAGAUAGUUGGUGGGGUAAUGGCCUACCAAGUCUGCNAUCAGUAGCUGGUUUGAGAGGAUGAUCAGCAACACUGGGACUGAGACACGGCCCAUACUCCUACGGGAGGCANCNGUGNG
rnacentral:rRNA from 1 species